rnacentral:lncRNA from 1 species
AGAAUCACUAGGCGCCGGCGCCUCCGAGGCAGUGUGUUUCCGCCCAGAGCUGGAGUCUCCCAGCUGCCAGCCGACCCCGAACCCGCACUCCCGCCAACCGCGCUUUUUGUGGGCGGUCGGAAACCACAGCCUCCGUUGGAUAUGUUCGGUGCAUGUUAUAAACAACCACUUAAACCCUCCGGAUCUGAGCCUCCCGCAGAGGAAUGCAGAAUGACGCCACGGCACGCAGGAUGUGAUGUCACCGAGAUGCAGAGGAUACUCAGUCAACCAACAUUUACUGAGCAUCUACUUCGUGCCGUAUGUACGAAGCUAGCAAAUAUGUACAGCACCAGUACUGAUUGCAGGGAGCACUGUAGAAGAGGAAUGAAGGCCAAACAAUUAAAAGCGGAGGCGGGGAGGUCUUGUCAACGGAAAGGGGUCCCUAUCCAGACCCCAAGAGAGCAUUCUUGGAUCUCUUGCAAGAAAGAAUUUGAGGCGAAUCCAUAGAGUAAGCAAGGCAAGUUACUUCUAUAUAGAAGGGUGCACCCUUACAGAUCAAACAAUGCUUAGUGAUGUGUGUCAGACCUCUGAGCCCAAGCAAAGCCAUCAUAUCCCCUGUGACCUGCAUGUAUACAUCCAGAUGGCCUGAAGCAAGUGAAGAAUCACAAAAGAAGUGAAAAGGGCCGGUUCCUGCCUUAACUGAUGACAUUCCACCAUUGUGAUUUGUUCCUGCCCCACCUUAACUGAGCGAUUAACCUGUGAACUUCCUUCUCCUGGCUCAGAAGCUUCCCCACUGAGCACCUUGUGACCCCCGCCCCUGCCUGCCAUAGAACAACCCCCUUUGAUUGUAAUUUUCCUUUACCUACCCAAAUCCUAUAAAACGGCCCCACCCCUAUCUCCCUUCGCUGACACUCUCUUUGGACUCAGCCUGCCUGCACCUAGGUGAUUAAAAAGCUUUAUUGCUCACGCAAA